rnacentral:rRNA from 1 species
GUGCCAGCAGCCGCGGUAAUACGUAGGUGGCAAGCGUUAUCCGGGAAUUAUUGGGCGUAAAGCGCGCGUAGGCGGUUUUUUAAGUCUGAUGUGAAAGCCCACGGCUCAACCGUGGAGGGUCAUUGGAAACUGGAAAACUUGAGUGCAGAAGAGGAAAGUGGAAUUCCAUGUGUAGCGGUGAAAUGCGCAGAGAUAUGGAGGAACACCAGUGGCGAAGGCGACUUUCUGGUCUGUAACUGACGCUGAUGUGCGAAAGCGUGGGGAUCAAACAGGAUUAGAUACCCUGGUAGUCC